ensembl:lncRNA
CUUCUCUCUCAGGUGUGUGUGUGUCUUCUCUCUCAGGUGUAUGUCUUCUCUUCCAGGUGUGUGUAUGUCUUCUCUCCCAGGUGUGUGUAUGUCUUCUCUCUCAGGUGUGUGUAUGUCUUCUCUCUCAGGUGUGUGUAUGUCUUCUCUCUCAGGUGUGUGUAUGUCUUCUCUCUCAGGUGUGUGUAUGUCUUCUCUCCCAGGUGUGUGUAUGUCUUCUCUCCCAGGUGUGUGUAUGUCUUCUCUCCCAGGUGUGUGUAUGUCUUCUCUCUCAGGUGUGUGUAUGUCUUCUCUCUCAGGUGUAUGUCUUCUCUCUCAGGUGUGUGUGUGUGUCUUCUCUCUCAGGUGUAUGUCUUCUCUUCCAGGUGUGUGUAUGUCCUCUCUCCCAGGUGUGUGUAUGUCUUCUCUCUCAGGUGUGUGUAUGUCUUCUCUCCCAG